CCUUUGAUGGUACAGUUAGUAGUACUUUAUGGAUAUUAAUGGAUUAUCAAGUAUGUUGUAGGUUCGAAUCCUGGUCAGAGGG